rnacentral:rRNA from 1 species
GACGGAGGAUGCAAGCGUUAUCCGGAAUGAUUGGGCGUAAAGCGUCCGCAGGUGGCAGUUCAAGUCUGCUGUCAAAGACCGGGGCUUAACUUCGGAAAGGCAGUGGAAACUGAACAGCUAGAGUAUGGUAGGGGCAGAGGGAAUUCCUGGUGUAGCGGUGAAAUGCGUAGAGAUCAGGAGGAACACCGAUGGCGAAGGCAGGUCUCUGGGCCACUACUGACGCUGAGAAGCGAAAGCAUGGGGAGCGAACAGG